rnacentral:rRNA from 1 species
AGAGUUUGAUCCUGGCUCAGGAUGAACGCUAGCUACAGGCUUAACACAUGCAAGUCGAGGGGCAUCAUGAGAGGGACUUCGGUCCUUUCGAUGGCGACCGGCGAAUGGGUGAGUAACACGUAUCCAACCUGCCCCUGACCGGGGGAUAGCCCUCCGAAAGGGAGAAUUAACACCCCAUGGGUGUCCCGUGCGGCAUCGCGCGGCCAUGAAAGGUUACGGUCAGGGAUGGGGAUGCGUCCGAUUAGCUUGCUGGCGGGGUAACGGCCCACCAGGGCGUCGAUCGGUAGGGGUUCUGAGAGGAAGGUCCCCCACACUGGAACUGAGACACGGUCCAGACUCCUACGGGAGGCAGCAGUGAGGAAUAUUGGUCAAUGGGCGGAAGCCUGAACCAGCCAAGUAGCGUGAAGGAUGAUGGCCCUACGGGUUGUAAACUUCUUUUAUGCGGGAACAAAGUGCGCCACGCGUGGCGUUUUGCGCGUACCGCAGGAAAAGCACCGGCUAAUUCCGUGCC